rnacentral:rRNA from 1 species
AUUGAACGCUGGCGGCAGGCAUAAUACAUGCAAGUUGAACGCUGAGGACAGCAGCAAUGUUAUCCUUGGAGUGGCGCACGGGUGCGUAACACGUAUGCAAUCUGCCCUUAACAGGGGAAUAGCCCGGCGAAAGUCGGAUUAAUACCCCAUAACAAUGUGAACCGGCAUCGGUUUAUAUUUAAAGCUCCGGCGGUUAAGGAUGAGCAUGCGCGACAUUAGCUAGAUGGCGGGGUAACGGCCCACCAUGGCUACGAUGUCUAGGGGGUCUGAGAGGAUUUUCCCCCACACUGGUACUGAGACACGGACCAGACUCCUACGGGAGGCAGCAGUAGGGAAUAUUGGGCAAUGGGCGCAAGCCUGAUCCAGCCAUGCCACGUGCAGGAAGACGCAUCUAUGGUGUGUAAACUGCUUUUGUACGGGAAGAAACACUCCCUCGUGAGGGAGCUUGACGGUACCGUAAGAAUAAGGAUCGGCUAACUCCGUGCCAGCCGCCGCGGUAAAAC